rnacentral:RNase_P_RNA from 1 species
AAGGCGGGACGGAUCAUCGCCGCGCCCUUCGCAACGCGAGGGGCGGGGAGGAAAGUCCGGGCUCCGCAGGGCGGGACGCUGGGUAACGCCCAGGGGGAGAAAUCCCCGGAAAGCGCCACAGAAAGCAUACCGCCUGGCCGCAAGCAUGGCUUGUGGCCGGGUAAGGGUGAAACGGUGGGGUAAGAGCCCACCAGUUGCCGGGGCGACCCGGCAAGCUAGGCAAGCCCCGUCCGGAGCAAGACCAAAUAGGGAAGCGUCUGAGGCCUGCCCGGCCGAAGCUUCCGGGUAGGUUGCUUGAGGCCGCGGGUAACCGCGGUCCUAGAGGAAUGAUGAUCGCCCCGCCUUGUCCCGCCUGCGCCGCCCUUGCGGGCGCUUCGGGCCGGGCACGGGGCGGGGGACAAAACCCGGCUUACAGUCCCGCCUUUGCC